ensembl:snoRNA
UUUCACAGAUACUGAUCGGCAGCUGUUCUUAUGGUGGCAUUUGUGGCAUUCCUCUGUGGGAGAGAAACUUACAUGGUUAAACACUUCUUUCUUAGCAAGAUAGAGUAGGCAUGUGUGACAAACACAA